rnacentral:rRNA from 1 species
UACGUAGGGUGCGAGCGUUGCCCGGAUUUAUUGGGCGUAAAGGGCGCGUAGGCGGCCUCAUAAGUCCUGUGUGAAAUCCCCCGGCUCAACUGGGGAACUGCACAGGAGACUGUUUGGCUUGAGUUCGGGAGAGGGAAGCGGAAUUCCGGGUGUAGCGGUGAAAUGCGUAGAUAUCCGGAGGAACACCGGUGGCGAAGGCGGCUCCUGGACCGACACUGACGCUGAGGCGCGAAAGCUAGGGGAGCAAACGGG